rnacentral:misc_RNA from 1 species
GGUGAACCUGCGGAAGGAUCAUUACCGAGUGCGGGUCCCCCGGGGCCCAACCUCCCACCCGUGUUGACCGACCCCUGUUGCUUCGGCGGGCCCGCCUGGGCUUUCCGCCUCGGCCGCCGGGGGGCUUAGCCCCCGGGUCCGCGCCCGCCGAAGACCCCCUGAACGCUGCCUUGAAGGUUGCCGUCUGAGUGAUAAAUCAAUCAUUAAAACUUUCAACAACGGAUCUCUUGGUUCCGGCAUCGAUGAAGAACGCAGCGAAAUGCGAUAAGUAAUGUGAAUUGCAGAAUUCCGUGAAUCAUCGAAUCUUUGAACGCACAUUGCGCCCCCUGGCAUUCCGGGGGGCAUGCCUGUCCGAGCGUCAUUGCUAACCCUCCAGCCCGGCUGGUGUGUUGGGCCGCCGUCCCCCCGGGGGCGGGCCCGAAAGGCAGCGGCGGCGCCGCGUCCGGUCCUCGAGCGUAUGGGGCUCUGUCACGCGCUCCGGGGCCCGGCCGGCUGCUGGCCAACGACCUCACGGUCACCUCACUUCUCAGGUUGACCUCGGAUCAGGUAGGGAUACCCGCUGAACUUAAGCAUAU